ACUCCUACGGGAGGCAGCAGUGAGGAAUAUUGGACAAUGGGCGAAAGCCUGAUCCAGCCAUGCCGCGUGUGUGAAGAAGGUCUUCGGAUUGUAAAGCACUUUAAGUUGGGAGGAAGGGCAGUAAGUUAAUACCUUGCUAUUUUGACGUUACCGACAGAAUAAGCACCGGCUAACUUCGUGCCAGCAGCCGCGGUAAUA
rnacentral:rRNA from 1 species